rnacentral:rRNA from 1 species
UUAGGUGGCGAUAGCGAAGAGGUCACACCCGUUCCCAUGCCGAACACGGAAGUUAAGCUCUUCAGCGCCGAUGGUAGUUGGGGGCUUCCCCCUGUGAGAGUAGGACGCCGCCAAGC